rnacentral:SRP_RNA from 1 species
GGAAGGCUGGAAUGGACAGGCUCCUCGCCAACCCGGUCAGAUCCGGAAGGAAGCAGCCGUAACGAGUUCCGGCCUGGGUCAUGACCCAGCCUUCCAUG